GCGGAUGUGGUGGAAUUGGUAGACACGCUGGUUUUAGGUACCAGUGCCGAAAGGCGUGAGAGUUCGAGUCUCUCCAUCCGCACCA
rnacentral:tRNA from 1 species